rnacentral:rRNA from 1 species
UACGUAGGGGGCAAGCGUUGUCCGGAAUCAUUGGGCGUAAAGCGCGUGUAGGCGGCUCAGUAAGUCCGCUCUGAAAGUCCGGGGCUCAACCCCGGGAGGCGGGUGGAUACUGCUGGGCUCGAGUACGGAAGAGGCGAGUGGAAUUCCCGGUGUAGCGGUGAAAUGCGCAGAUAUCGGGAGGAACACCAAUGGCGAAGGCAGCUCGCUGGGACGUUACUGACGCUGAGACGCGAAAGCGUGGGGAGCAAACAGG